UUUAUGGAGAGUUUGAUCCUGGCUCAGGAUGAACGCUGGCGGCGUGCCUAAUACAUGCAAGUCGAGCGAACAGACGAGGAGCUUGCUCCUCUGACGUUAGCGGCGGACGGGUGAGUAACACGUGGAUAAC
rnacentral:rRNA from 1 species